rnacentral:rRNA from 1 species
CCUAAGGACGCCUUCGGUAUCCAGGGGUCGCGGACCGACCAUAUAACCAUGUUCAAUAGGUGGAACGCAUUAGCUGUCCGCUGUCCUGUUGGGCAGUAAGGGUUGGAGAAAGGCAAUCACUCAUUCUUAAAACCAGCAUUCUUAAGACCAAAGAGGCUGGUGAAAAGAGGGGAAAGGUCUCUGUUCCUGGUUCUCCUAUGGUUGGAUCCUCCAGAACCACAAGAAUCCUUAGUUAGAAUGGGAUUCCAACUCAGCACCUUUUGAGAUUUUGAGAAGAGUUACUCUUUGGAGAGCACAGUACGAUGAAAGUUGUAAGUUGUGUUCGGGGGGAGUUAUUGUUUAUCGUUGACCUCUAUGGUAGAAUAAGUCAGGGGACUGAGAGGCGGUGGUUUACCCUGUGGUGGAUGUCAGUGGUUCGAUACAAGUCAUAAACUUAGCCGAUACAAGUAGUGGGAGGAGACCAGGACUCUAACCGCGUGCCUGUUGAAGAAUGAGCCGGUGACUCAUAGACAGUGGCUUGGUUAAGGGAACCCACCAGAGCUGUAUUGAUAGCAAGUCUUCAUAGGGAAAUUAUCACUACUUAUAGACCCGAACCUGGGUGAUCUAUCCAUGACGAGGAUGAAGCUUGGGUGAAACUAAGUGGAGGACUGAACCGACUGAUAUUGAAGAAUCAGCAGAUAAGUUGUGGUUAGGGGUGAAAUUCCACUCGAACCCAGAGCUAGCUGGUUCUCCCCGAAAUGCGUUGAGGCAUAACAGUUGACUGGACAUCUAGGGGUAAAGCACUGUUUCGGUGCGGGCAGCGAGAGCAGUACCAAAUCGAGGCAAACUCUGAAUACUAGAUAUGACUUCAAAAUAACAGGGGUCAAGGUCGGCCAGUGAGACGAUGGGGGAUGAGCUUCAUCAUCGAGAGGGAAACAGCCCAGAUCACCAGCUAAGGCCCCUAAAUGCCCGCUCAGUGAUAAAGGAGGUACGGGUGCAGAGACAGCUAUGAGGUUUGCCUAGAAGCAUCCACCCUUGAAAGAGUGUGUAAUAGCUCACUGAUCAAGCGCUCUUGUUCCGAAGAUGAAUGGGGCUAAGUGAUCUGUCGAAGCUGUGGAAUGUAAAAAUGCAUUGAUAGGGGAGCGUUCCGCCUUAGAGGGAAACACCUGCGGGAGCAGUGGUGAACGAAGCGGAAGCGGGAAUGUCGGCUUGAAUAAUGCAAACAUUGGUUAGAAUCCAAUGCCCCGAAAAACUAAGGGUUCCUCCAUAAGGUUCGUCCAUGGGGAGUGAGUCAGGGCCUAAGAUCAUACCGUAAGGUGUAGUCAAUGGACAACAGGUGAAUAUUCUUGUAUUACCCCUUGUUGGUCUCGAGGGACGCAAGAGGCUAAGUUAGCCGAAAGAUGGUUAUCGGUUCAAGAACACAAGAUGCCCCUAUUUUUUCAAGGUAAGAAGGGGUAGAGAAAAUACCUCCCGCCAAUGUUCAAGUACCAGGCGCUACGGCGAUAAAGUAACCCAUGCCAUACUCCCAGGAAAAGCUCGAACGACCUUCAACAAAAGGGUACAUGUACCCAAAACUGACAUAGGUGGGUAAGUAGAGAAUACCUAGGGGCGCGAGACAACUCUCUCUAAGGAACUCGGCAAAAUAACCUCGUAACUUCGAGAGAAGGGAUGCAUACUCACAAAGGGGGUCGCAGUGACCAGGCUCGAGCGACUAUUUACCAAAAACACAAGUCUCUGCAAAGUCAUAACACCGUGUAUGGGGGUUGACGCCUGCCUAGUACCAAAAGGUCAAGGAAGUUGGUGACCUGAUGACAGGGGAGCCACCGACCGAAGCCCCGGUGAACGGAGACUGUAACUAUAAUGGUCCUAAGGUAGCGAAAUCCAUUGCCAGGUAAGCUCUGACCCGCACGAAAUGCAUAAUGAUCUGGGCACUAUCUCAGAGUUAAACUCGGUGAAAUAAACAUGUCUGUGAAGAUGCCGACUACCUGCAGAAAAUAUUAUCGUGUCAACUUGAUGCACUAAACCUUUAAGCGAAAUGCUAUAAAAAGGAAGGAAAAUUCAUGGACCGAUCCCAUCGUCUCCAUCCCGUAGGAACUACGAGAUCACCCUCAAGACGCCUUCGAUAUCCAAGGAUCACGGACCGACCAUAGAACCAUGUUCAAUAAGUGGAACACAUUAGCUGUCCAUUCUCCUGUUGGGCAGUAAGGGUCGGAGAAGGGCAAUCACUCAUUCUUAAAACCAGCAUUCUUAAGACCAAAGAGGCGGGUGAAAAGGUGGGAAAGCUCUCCGUUCCUGGUUCUCUUAUGGUUGGAUUCUCUGGAACCACAAGAAUCCUUUGAUAGAAUAGGAUUCCAACGCAGCACCUUUUGAGAUUUUGAGAAGAGUUACUCUUUGGAGAGCACAGUACGAUGAAAGUUGUAAGUUGUGUUCGGGGGGAGUUAUUAUUUAUCGUUGACCUCUAUGGUAGAAUCAGUCGGGGGACUAUGAGGUGGUGGUUUACUUUGUGGUGGAUGUCAGCGGUUCGAGUCUGCUUAUCUCCAACUCGUGAACUUAGCCAAUACAAAGCUAUAUGAUAGCACUCCAUUUUUCUGAUUCGGCAGUUCGAUCUAUGAUUUAUCAUUCAUGGACGUUGAUAAGAUCCUUCCAUUUAGCAACACCUUAGGAUGGCAUAGCCUUAAAUUUAAGAAGUUAAGGGUGAGGUUCAAACGAGGAAAGGCUUACGGUGGAUACCUAGGCACCCAGAGACGAGGAAGGGCGUAGUAAGCGAUGAAAUGCUUCGGGGAUUUGAAAUA